rnacentral:rRNA from 1 species
GAUGAACGCUGGCGGCGUGCCUAAUACAUGCAAGUCGAGCGAACAGACGAGGAGCUUGCUCCUCUGACGUUAGCGGCGGACGGGUGAGUAACACGUGGAUAACCUACCUAUAAGACUGGGAUAACUUCGGGAAACCGGAGCUAAUACCGGAUAAUAUAUUGAACCGCAUGGUUCAAUAGUGAAAGACGGUUUUGCUGUCACUUAUAGAUGGAUCCGCGCCGCAUUAGCUAGUGGGUAAGGUAACGGCUUACCAAGGCAACGAUGCGUAGCCGACCUGAGAGGGUGAUCGCCCAGACGGGAACUGAGACACGGUCCAGACUCCUACGGGAGGCAGCAGUAGGGAAUCUUCCGCAAUGGGCGAAAGCCUGACGGAGCAACGCCGCGUGAGUGAUGAAGGUCUUCGGAUCGUAAAACUCUGUUAUUAGGGAAGAACAAAUGUGUAAGUAACUAUGCACGUCUUGACGGUACCUAAUCAGAAAGCCACGGCUAACUACGUG